rnacentral:misc_RNA from 1 species
UCCGGUUUAUCACCGGUCAGCGGGAUGUCAAGCCCUGGUAAGGUUCUUCGCGUUGCUUCGAAUUAAACCACAUGCUCCACCGCUUGUGCGGGCCCCCGUCAAUUCCUUUGAGUUUCAGCCUUGCGGCCGUACUCCCCAGGCGGAGUGCUUAUCGGGUUACCUUCGGCACUGAGGGAAGUAACGCCCCCAACACCUAGCACUCAUCGUUUACGGCGUGGACUAC